rnacentral:rRNA from 1 species
GAGGUCUGGCCUGCUCACUGAGCGGNNNAUUUUUAAAGAGCCGCGGUAUUUUGACCGUGCAAAGGUAGCAUAAUCAUUAGUCUCUUAAUUAGUGGCUGGAAUGAAUGGCUUGACGAGAAAUCAACUGUCUCUUAAUAAAUUUUUGAAUUUAACUUUUAAGUCAAAAGGCUUAAAUUUUUCUUUAGGACGAGAAGACCCUAUAGAGCUUAACAUUUUACUUUUAUAUAGUUUUUUGUUUGUCUUUCUAUAUUUAAUGAUAAUGUUUUGUUGGGGUGACAUGAAGAAUAAAUAAACUCUUCAUUAUUAUAUCAUUUAUAUAUGUUUGUUGUUUUGAUCCAUAAUUUAUGAUCAUAAGAUUAAGUUACCUUAGGGAUAACAGCGUAAUUGUUUUUGAGAGCUCAUAUCGACAAAGCAGAUUGCGACCUCGAUGUUGGAUUAAGAAAAAUUUUGGGUGCAGUAGCCCAGUAAUUAGGUCUGUUCGACCUUUAAAUUCUUACAUGAUCUGAGUUCAGACCGGCGUGAGCCAGGUCGGUUUCUAUCCUAAGAUUNAUUAAUUCAUAUUAGUACGAAAGGACCAUAUGGUUGAAAUANNUUUUUUAUUUUAUNUGAUUAAUAUUAAUUAGAUU